CCUGGGUGCCUCAGCAGGUAAGCUCAGGUCAUAAUCUCAGGGUUUGUAAAUUUGAGCCCCACAUUGGGC
rnacentral:tRNA from 1 species